CGCGCCGCCGCGGCCGCUUCCGGCGCCACCACCUGGGAUCCGGGCAGGUCGGCGUACCCUGAGCCCGGAGUGCCGAGUCGCUGAAGAAAAUUACUUUCCAAGAAGAAAUGUCUUAUUAUAUAACAAAGGAUGUAUUCGUCCUCUCCACUUGCCAGUCAAAUGGAAACACAAUGUGAAUUCUGUUCAGCUAUGUUCUUUGGGGAUUUUGUUGUCAGUAAAGAGAAAAGCAUGCAUCCUCUUGGUCCUUUGGGAUGGCAAGAUCCAAGAAGUCUAGAGAUGAACAUGAUAGCCCACCUUCUUCCACCAGAACAACUUUAAAUCUAUUUGUAAAAUAUAAUGUACCAUUUUUUCAAAUGUGGACUCCACCUUGGGCUUGAAGUAUCAGUGAUGACUCUACCAGGGCUCCAUUAAGUCAUCAUCUUGUGUCCACAGAGCAGAACAGGCAAGAAGAAGUUGAAGUCACCAAUUGCUUCAAGAAACAUGGUGCUCAUAUUAAACAAGCUUAUUGUAUGUUUUAGAGAUACAGAAAGCAGGUAGAUCAUAGGAUUCGGGGGUGGUGCCAAGCUUUUUCAAAAUACAGUACGUUGUCACUUUAAGUUCUUCCAGGGAACAAAAAGCCAAGUGAACAAGAAGGUGGGCGUUUUGCUCUUUUCCUUCCCGUCGUAUUGCCAAGUUCUUAUCGUGUAUUUUAUUUUGCUCAUUUUCCCCUAAAAGCUUGUUUGAUUUCAGCAUCUCAAUGGUCAUUUUUAUUUCAGAGAUGCAUCCUCUGCUUCAACAAUGUAGUUGAAAAUGCUUUUGACCUGUAGGCAGUAUGAAAUGCAUUCUAAAUUAUCGUCCUAGCAGUAACGUGACGAGGUGAAUGGUGAUGUUGUGUAGAAUUAUGACAUCUUACAGAGAGUUCUCGGAAAUUCUUGUCUCACUCUAGAAGUGACAAUAAAUAUCUGCGAAUUCUGAAUAAUGUGGCAGAACACUCACCCUCUCACCCGUCUCUCUCGUGCCUACUGUGUGUAUUUAUGUGCUGACUAGCUUCAAUCCUUCUACUCGGCUGGACAGCCUUGGAACUUAAUCUGUACGAAGCUGACUCAUUCAUGAAUCAAAUCCCCAAUCUUAGACUCAUAAACAUCAUGUUCUGAUCAACUAAGCUAAGUGGCCUAGACCAGCUCUCUGCUGGAAAGUACAAAUACCAAUUUUAAAAACCAGUCAACUACUGGGAGAAAAAAGCAUUUGUGGAUCUGAGAUUUUGGUGCUGCCCCAUUUGUAAAGCUGAUACCAAUCAGUGCAUCUGCAUCUCUGGCUCCUCUGAAACCAGCAUUGGCUACUUUCCUUUUCUUCCCAGACCAUUUGACAACUGCUAAGGGUAGAACUUCAAGGAAGUUCGAUGCACAUUUCUCAAACGGAAAAUUAUUCUGACAUAAUUUACUAAAAAAUUGCUCACCUUGGUUGCAGAGUAGAUGGUCAACAGUGGAAAUGGGUACAGGCCACUGGCAGAGGAAAUGUUGAUAAUCGCCCCUUUAGAUCUAAAAAGGAAGAUGUACCAAGUACACAGGAUGAAGUCAAAUAUACAACUGUCUGUAAACUACAGAUUGAGAUAUAUAAUUAUUUGAAACAGAAUAACCUAGCUGUUUUCCUGACACACAUCUCUCCAUGCCUUUUGUGGGCAUGUGAUAUGCCUGGUCAGUGAAUGAGGCAUAACUCAAUCAACUAAAAAUAGCUCUUGUUUGCAAUUAGCUCAUUUCUCAGUUUUAGUAAUCUGGGGCAUGACCAGAUUAGAUCUUCAGUCUCCUGGAGUUGAUGUCUAUCAUCUGAGGUCUUCUCUGGCCAUAGCAUCAAGAAUUCUCACUCGUAAAAACACUCUCCUACUCCUUGUAUGCUUUUAUUUGACAUAUCAUCACAUACUAUCGUCCUGGAGCAUUUAAUCACUCUAUGAGUAUAAACAUUUUUCUCCUUCAAAAAAAAAAAAAAAACCCAAAACCCAUAAGCUUCUAGACAUUAUAGCCCUUGUCCUAUACACUUUUCUCCAAAACACUCUGCAAAGUCCUGAACCUAUUAACAGGUACUCAAUAAAAGCCUCUGGCAACGAAUGAAUGGUUAUGUCUGGCCCCUCCUGCUUUCCCUGGUUUGUACAUAUUCAGGUGCUAAAUAAUGAGUAGACUCUAAAAUCAUGGAACUCUAGGGGGAGGGUAUAGCUUAAGUGGUAGAGCACAUGCUUAGCAUGCACGAGGUCUUGGGUUCACUCCCCAGUACCUCCUCUAAAUAAGUAAAUAAAUAAAUAAACCCAAUUACCUCCCCCAACAAGCAAAUUUUAAAAAUAUAUUAAAAAGAAAUAAAAUAAAAUCAUGGCACUCUAUAGUUUAGCAAACCAUAUUCUUUUUUUUUCCCCAAACCAUAUUCUUUUGCCAAGAGGCAAAGCUCAAUUUCUACUGUGCCUUUUAGAGAUUAAUGAAAGUUAAAGUCAGAAAGUUAUUGGGAAUUACUAACUCUACAAAUCAAUAAAAAUUAGUUUGAGAAAAGCAAUGCUGUAAACAUACUAGUUGCUAGCAGGCAUGUGUGGCUUGGGUGAAGCGUGGAAUUAACGGUUUUAGGAAUUUUGGCCACUGCAACCUGAUCCCACCUACUGCCCGUCCUCAGAUCCGGUUCCUUUUUUUCUACUUUCUCAUUAUUCGUCUGAAUUCACUUCCCCCAAGGCCUUUUUUUUUUUUAACAAUUAAAAAAAGAACUAGAUAGACCCCCCUUUUAUGCAAAGUAAUAAAAGAUAUAAUUAGAUUGCAUCUAAGUUAGUUUAGACGUAAAUCUGAAAAGAAAUAAUCCCCAAAGGUCACCCAGUCCAUCUGCCAGCCUCUAGGCGAGAUGCCUCUUCAACCAUCAAAUGGAAGUCUGGACGCGCAGCUUAAUGAAUCACUGAAAACAAGUUGUCUUUCUGUUUUUGUUUUUGAAACUGAAGUCCUUAUUGGCAAUAUACACUUUCCUAAGCAGUGAAAUCCAUUAACAUGUCAAGUGUAGAAAUCAAAUCUCAAAUUUUAAAUUGUUAUAUUAUGGUUUCAAAGAACAAUGGAAAUAUUUAGUCAAUGUAUUAAUUACAUUAUGUAUUAAUUGUAUUGAUUGUAUCAUGCCUGUAUUUUCUUACUUUUGUCUUUCACAAAGACAGAAAAGGCUUUUCUUUUUAAAUUUUAAGAGAGUAAGAGUGUCUAUUAAGAGUUAAACCCAAUUACUCGAAGACAAAAACUGGUGAAUGAGCAA